GGGGAUCAUCAUAUUUGGGCCAUCAAAACCCCAGAUUAUGUCACUAAAAUAAUACUAAUAGCAUUACUGCAAAUGAUUAGAUGCACUGAAUUGGCUUUUGCAGCAUUAGAAAGGCCAUGCGUGAAAAGGCAAAUGAUUUACACAUCAAUGAUGGGAGUGGCUCUACACUUCACUGCUCUCCGUGUGUGCAAGUGUAGGGAUACAGAGAGAAAGCCUGUGUGUGCGUACUGUAGGAGAGCAAGAGAGAGUAUAUCAAGGAGCAUGCGCAAUUCUCUAUGACCGUGUGUGUGUGUGUGAGAGAGACGGAGAGAGAAAGAGAUCAAGAAAGGGAACACACCAUUCUGUUGCACCACUCCUAGAGAGCCUGGAGACGCUCUCACACUGUCUGACUCCUGUUCCAGCUCAGGGCUUCUGCAUGGACACACAUGCACACAUGAGCACAGAGCCACACACAAACACACACCACAGACGUGUCGUCACUGCCACUCCUGGCAGCCGGUGAUAUAAGGGAGUAGGAGCGGUAAGGAGAAGAAGGAGAGGUGGAAGCGGCUAGCAUUAAGCUGAAGCAGGAGACCCAGCCGUUGCACCUGGCCUCUCACGCAGCUCACCAUGUGAAUCGCUGCCGCCUCCUAGAGGAUAAGAACAGAGCUCUUCAAAUAGAGCUAGCCACUCUCAGACAGCAGAAACAGCAGCACAGAUCUCUGGAGUCAGAGGUCAACGAGCGGAGGAAAAGGUGUCAGAUCCUUGAGAGAGAAGUGAAGAAUAAGACAUUAGAAUGUAAGACUUUGAAGAAUGAGCUUCAGGAUGCUUUGCUGGAGAGAAAACGGCUCAAUCGUGAGCUGCUUAGUCACACCCUGAAGGCCACACAGUACGAGAAGGUAAGAGAGAUGGUCAGCAUCACAUGCCAACUGAGCUCAUCAGAUCAAUGGCUGCUCAUUACAUGGCUCUUUUAGGAAAAUGUGCCCAAAGGGCUCUUCUCUGCAUCUCAUCGGCAGUAUUGAUCUAAUCGCAUCCCUUUCUGCUCAAUAUAUCCACCUGAUUUUGUUCAAAGAAACUACUGUAUAUAGGGCUUUGCCUGUAUGCAUUUAUUAUGGUUUGAAAUCAGCCUCUGUGAUGUAACAAGCAUGCCCAAAUGAACAAUAGAGAUGAUCAUAAAGUGAAAGAUUUAAAUUCGAUCACACUGUGAAGGGAAUCCAGUGACACCCGAAUAGGGAUAUAAAUGUGAGUAGCGAAUCUGCUAAGAAGUGGUUAUCAUUCUAACACAGGACAGCUGAGAGUGGCAUUUCAUGGCACUCAAUGUGUUAACAGUGUCAAUUUUUUUUUACGGUUUGGUGGUCUCUUUCUGAAUAAUCUGUAGGCUGCUCCUCUCCUCUAACAGCAAAAAGGACCAUCUGUCACAACCCCAGACAAGCGUCUGAGAUAAAAUAUCUUCUGUUUUAUCGCUCCCAUUCCCAUUCCCUCAAUGAUCAAAGGCUCAUUUCCCAGCAUUCAGUGGCGCUAACAAGGAUGAGGAGAGUAGGUAAAUAACCCCAAGUGGGACAGGUCAGUUUGUCAUGCGCUUGGCCACCAGGCGCAAUCUCAUAUACCAAUCCUAGAUCGAUAUGAGAUGCGAAUCAACAUACCCGUUUCUCUCAGCCUGAACGGAAGAAAUGUGUGCUAAUAAAUGAGAGCGAGUAUGGGCGUGUGCCAGAAUGAUGCCGCCACAAGUGUGUGAUAUAUUGAGUGGUAAAUUUUGAUUGGUAGAUGGAUUCCUGUUUGACUGUGUCCUGAGUUGACCCUCUUCUGCACUCAUCAGGUGAUUGGUUGCGUUUCUCUGAGCUCUGCCAGCAUCGUGAGUCAAUGUAAAAGUCAAACACAUUUUUGAACACUGAAUCUUUAUUUUUAGUGCUGUUGCCUUAGAUACAAAUCACCUGAAUUUUAUUAUAUAGCCUACUGUGCGGCAGAGCUAUGUUUCAAGCCUUAGAAAGAAUCACUGCACCUUUUAUGAGAGUGAAAAAUAACUACUGAAAUAAUCUAUCAAAAUGAUUAAUUCUGUUUCAAAAAAAUAUUCUGCUUAGACCCACGUCUCUGUGUGCAAUAUGCUCUCACGGUCCAUUGUAAAAUGCAUUUAAGCACUGUUGCAGAGUCAGCCAUUUUCUUCCCUUUGUUGUAGUCAUAAUUAAAUGUCCAACAUCUGAAGUCUGGCCAAGGUUCUUUUAUUAACUCUGCUUUUCAUUGUUUAAGUGACAGUUAUAUAAAUUUAGCUGGAUUUUUGUGAAUUAGGACAGUUUAUAUAUCCUCAUUUUGUUUCCAACUCUUUUACUCUGUAGGUAAAGUCAGACUAUGAUCAGCUCAGAAAGGCUUUUGGUUGUGUGAGUCAAGAGAGGGACACUGCCAGGCAGGAGAAGGCUCAGCUCCAAGACAAACUGGAGAACCUUGAACAGGUCCUGAAGGUAAGAUCACUGUUGGAUACUGGUUAAAUGCUAGUUUGAUUAUUGAUUCAAAUCCAACCAGCUUUCAAUACAUUUUGCAGAUAAAAGUUUCCUCUAUGACAGCUUUUCUAG
ensembl:lncRNA